rnacentral:snRNA from 10 species
AAGUUUAGGUGGAGGGUGUGAAUAGUUGAUGAAGAAGGAGGCAUGGCCUAGUGUUGGUGACCUCCAUUGCACGUUGGGAGGCCUGCCCGCCUAUGGUCUGUCCCUGGGGGCAGAGAGGCUGCGUCAUAAUUUGUGGUAGUGGGGGCCUCCUCUA